UGCGUUUCUUGGCUUUUUGACUAAGACGAAGUGUAGUAUCUUAUCAGUUUAAUAUUUCAUACGUCCCCUAUCUCGGGACCAUAUAUUAAAUGUAAUUUUUGGAACUGGGAGAGGGAAGAAGAGCUUCCUGUGUCCACUGCAAGCAUUGACCUGAUAUUGCAGUAUCUCCAGGACUGGUGUAGAAAAA